AAUGUUCUCUCUCGCCAUCGCCAUAUUGAUAUAAAAGUUUGUCUUGUGAAAUACACGAUGUGCAGUAUUCCUGUAUGAUGUAGUUAUCCAAUCCUUCUUGUUGUGUCAAAUAUAAAUUUUAAUUUUUAGUUAUUAAAUUCUACGUGAAAAGAUCAUAUUAAUACAUAUAAUUAUAUAUUGAAAGCUAGCUUUUGAAUUAAAACCAUGUGAAUUGAAUCUUCGGAUAUAUAAUAGUAACGUCAAUAAAUUUUGGUUUAGGUUUUCAAAUACACAUUUGCAUUGAAACUUGAAGCAGUUUUAUUUUAAGGACGCUACUGAUUUUCACAUACGUAUUUGCAUAGAAUCUUGAAGUUUAUUUUUAAGAAGGCUUCUAACAAGUUUAAAGUUAUCAAGAAUUUUGUUUCAUAUAAUUCUGCUAUUAGAGAAACAUAAUAAGUUUUAAAUUCUGGAAAGAUAUUUGCAUUUUUGAGCAUACGGCAUUUUCCGGGACCGCUAAACUUUUUAUAAGAUUAAAACGAUUUAAAUUGUAUCUUCAGCUAUAAUGCAUUAAUUUUGGUUUGAAUGUCCACACACAUCAAUGCAUUAAUGGUUGAAAUAAUAAUUCUAUUUUAAAAAGGGCUUUUGGUUUUCACACCCACAUUUGCGUUGAGACUACUGCGAGAGAGAAGUAGGUUUAUUUUUAAGAAGGCUUCUGAAGGCUUCUGGUAAGUCUACAUUUCACGAGAAUUUUGUCUCAUAUAAUCCUGCUAUUAGAGCAACAUAAUAAGUUUUAAAUUCUGUAAAGCUAUUUGCAUUUUUGAGUAUAUGGCAUUUUCUAGGACAGCAUAAAUUUAUGUAAGGUAUUGCUUUUUCGUAUUAUUUCCAUUAAAAUUUUAAUUUCUAGUUAUAUUUUACUUUAAAAUAUCAUAUUUACAUUAUAAUUAAGUGUUGAAAAUGGAUUUGUAGAUUAAAACAAUUUAAAUUGAAUAUUCGGGUAUAAUGCAUUAAUUUUUGUUUGGAUGUCCACACACAUCAAUGCAUUAAUGGUCGAAAUAAUUCUAUUUUAAGAAGAGCUUCUGUUUUAAUUGCUACUUUAAAAGAUCAUAUUCACAUUAUAAUUACAUGUUGCGAUCUGAUAUUUGGAUUAAAGGUUUUCACAUACACUUUGCAUUGAAACUUAAAGUAGUUUUAUUUUAAGAAAGUUACUGGUAAGUCUACAUUUAUCAAGGAUCUUAUUUCAAAUAAUUCUGCUAUUAGAAUGAGUAUUAUGUAUUUAGAUUUAAAAAAUUAUUUGCAUUAUUGAACGUACGGCAUGUUCCGGGACCGAUUAAAUUUUUUAAAUAUAAUGUUUCUUUGGAUUAUUUCAAUUAAAAUUUUAACUUUCAAGUAUUAAAUUCUACUUCAAAAGACCAUAUUUACAUGUAAUUAUGUGUUGACAGUUGAUUUUUGUAUUAAUACCAUGCAAAUUAAAUUUUCGGAUGGAAUAAUAUCGACAGUAAAUUUUGGUUUAGAUUUUCACAUACACAUUUACAUUGAAACUUGAAGUAGUUUUAUUUUAAGAAGAUUUCUGAUAAGUCUACAGUUAUCGAGAAGUUUUUUAUAAUUCUGCUAUUAGAGCAACAUAAUAAGUUCUAAAUUAUUCAGACAUUUGCAUUUUUGAACAUACACAGCAUGUUCCGGGAUUAGUAAAGCUUUUUUUAAAUAUUGUCUCUUUUUAUUCUUUUAUAAGUCUUAAUUCGAAAUUAUAAUAAAUACUACUUCGAAAGAUCAUAUUUACAUUUUGAUUAACUACUGAAAGCUGAUUUUUUUAAUUUAAUACGGUAUAAAUUGAAUGUUUAUAUAUAAGAAUAAUAUCACUAGUUUUGAUAAUUUGUAAAUUUGCACACAUUAUUUGCAUUUACACUUGAAGUAAUAUUAUUUUGAGAAGGCUUCUGGUGAGUUCUUCUAAAUUUGUCGACGUUCUUUUAUAUAAUCUUACUAUUAGAAUGACUUGUGUUUUAAGUUCUGGAAAAUUAUUUGCAUUAUUGAAAAUACGGCAUUUUCCAGGACCGUUAAAAUUGUUUGAAAAUAUUGUAUCUUAAAUUUGUAUUAUUUCUAUAAAUCUUAAUUCAAAUUCUGAAGUAAUAAAUUAUUCCGCGAAAAAUAUUUUCAUUAUAAUUAGUUAAGUACUGAUUUAUUUUUGUUAAUUUUUAUUUAAACUUGAGCUUGGUGAAUAUAACCAUAAUGUAAAUAAUUUUGAUUUGCGUUUUAAUAAGUUUUCAUUAACAUUUGGAGAAAUCUUCUGACAUGUCUAAACUUUUUGUGUUUAUUUUUUCAUAUAAUUCUGUUAUUAACUAUGUAUUACGUUUCAAGGUUUGCAAAGUUGUUUGCAUUCGUGAAUAUUUCGGGAUCAGUGUAAGUUUUCUUAAGAUAGUGUCUCUUUGUAUAUGUAGAAAUCUUAUUUCUAUAUCAAUAAAUUUGAAAUAUCAUAUUUUAUUAUAAUAAUCUUAUAAUAACUGAUGUUAACUAAUGAUUUUAUUAUUGCUAUAAUGAAGAAAUAUGUUUCUCUCUUUUCUCGGUAUUGCAAUAAAAUCAAUAAUCUUCAUUUUAUUAAAUUCUUAUUAUUUUUUAUUACAAUCUGGUUGUUUGAAUAUAACGACAAUAACAACAAUUUUAAUUUCUUUUCAUCAUUUCUUACUAACAUUUGCAAUAUUGCUUUUUUAAAAUUGCUUUUAGUAAGCCUAAAAUUUUGAAGUUAUAAAAAUAUAUCAAGUAAUUAUAUCUUUGCGUUUAGAAAUCAUGUAUAUUUAUGAAAUGUAUAUAUUUGUAUAUGCAAUAAUUAUAUAUUAUAAAAAAUUUAUUAUUUUCUUUGUAUAGGUAUAUCUUGAAAAAGAUUUAUGUCCUACGGCAGUUUCCAGGACGUUCUGGAACCUGCCAUUUAGAUACAAUGGCAGAUUCCAGGUCUGUACAUUUAGAUGUA